rnacentral:lncRNA from 1 species
AAGAUGAUGAUUUAGUUGAUGAUAUAUUAGAAACUCUUUUCUAAUUAUCAUCUUGCUUUGGCCAAAGACUUCCGAAUCAACGACCUAUGAGAUUACAUAGGAUGUUCGCUCCCCUUAUUAGGAGUGACUAAUCUCUUAUUAAUCACUCACAAUCUUCAUGCACUCUUCAUUAUAUCUAGAACACUCUAUACAAAGAUCAAAGAAUCAAGUUAGAAAGUGGAUCAAAAUAU